AAAAUCCGUCGACUUUAAAAAUCGUGAGGGUUCAAGUCCCUCUAUCCCCAAAAAAAGCCUAUUUGACCCCCAAAAAAAUAUUUAACCUAUCCCC
rnacentral:tRNA from 1 species